AAAUUCUACUGCUAUAAUUCAAAAGAAUCAUCUGUAUGAAAGUGAUUUAACAAGUGACGUUGAUAUUACUUUAAAUUCAUCCAUUAUUAUAAAUCAGGUAGACACAGCCACAGAGAAUUUAUUGUGUGAUAGUAAUUCUACUGCAAUAGUUCAUAAGAAUCAUCUACAUGAAGGUGAUUUAACAAGAGAUAUUGAUAUUGAUUUAAAUUCAUCCAUUUCUAUAAAUCAGAUAUGCCCAGCCACAGAGAAUGUAUUGGAAGCUGAAUCUCUAGAGUAUCAUUUGCCAUCUAAUGAUGAAUUAUUCAAACUAAACAAAAAUCCUGAUAUCCUCCAAAAAUUAAUCUUCAUCAAAAAACAUCCUAUCCAGCCAUCAUUCUUCAGCAAUAUCCAACUAGAUUUAAAAAAGCUCUAUUUUAGAAAAACAUCAGAUGGCAAAAAAAGUUUCACGAAAGUGGUUAUCAGUCCUCUGUAUUGAUAAUGAACUCAAAGCUUUAUACUGUCCGUUUUGUAUUGCAUUCAGUUCAUCUCCUACUACAUUUUCUAAUGGCUGUAAUAAUUUUAAACAUAUCCAUGAAGUUGUUAAAAUACAUGAAAAAUCGUUAA